rnacentral:lncRNA from 1 species
CUCUUACAUGAACUAUAAGGGAUUGUAGUUUAGAAUUCAGCAGUGUUAUAUUUAUUUUAUAUUACAGUGUUUAAAAAUGAAGUCAAGAAGCAGAAUAUGCCUACAAAUCUGAGGUUGAAUGGAUGUGGCCUAAGAAUUCCAGAAUAGUACUCCAUGGUGAAUUCGUGGAUUUAGAACUCAUGGAUCCAGAGGGCUGAUGCUGCAGAUGUCAUGUGUUCCUGAAGCCCGCUUGGCCUCUCUGAGUCACUGACUCUGCCCCAGUGAGGACAGGAUGAGUUCCUGGCAUGUCACAGGGGGUUUGCUUGGCAUCUGAUGUUGAAUACGGAUUUCACUGAGACUGAACGUGGCAAAGCAAAGAAAAUCUUGCAGAUGAGUGCAAUUGAUAAGGAACUUCCAAAAUACUCUAGAAGCAACUGGAGCUUUCAAUCCACAUAUACAUACUUUCGAUGGCUGCAACUCAUGGAGACGGGAGAAAUCUUCAAACUUGGCCGAAGCUUUGGUGCAGUGUAUUCUCCUAUAGCCUGUACCCAGGACACUGGAAUCAGCUGUACGGAUGUGUGUGUGUGA